UAAUUUGCAGAGGAUGCUUUUGGCGAGGUGCCUUCCGAGUUCCCUGGAACGGGACGCCAUAGAGGGUGAGAGCCCCGUCUGGUUGGAUACCGAGCCUCUGUAAAGCUCCUUCGACGAGUCGAGUAGUUUGGGAAUGCUGCUCUAAAUGGGAGGUAUAUGUCUUCUAAAGCUAAAUACCGGCCAGAGACCGAUAGCGCACAAGUAGAGUGAUCGAAAGAUGAAAAGCACUUUGAAAAGAGGGUUAAAUAGUACGUGAAAUUGUUGAAAGGGAAGCGCUUAUGACCAGACUUGGACCCGGUGAAUCAUCCAGCGUUCUCGCUGGUGCACUUUGCCGGGCUCAGGCCAGCAUCAGUUUGUCUCGGGGGAUAAAGGCUUAGGGAAUGUGGCUCCUCCGGGAGUGUUAUAGCCCUUUGCACAAUACCCUGGGGCGGACUGAGGUUCGCGCAUCUGCAAGGAUGCUGGCGUAAUGGUCAUCAGCGACCCGUCUUGAAACACGGACCAAGGAGUCGUCUUCGUAUGCGAGUGUUCGGGUGUAAAACCCCUACGCGUAAUGAAAGUGAACGCAGGUGAGAGCUUCGGCGCAUCAUCGACCGAUCCUGAUGUUCUCGGAUGGAUUUGAGUAAGAGCAUACGGGGCCGGACCCGAAAGAAGGUGAACUAUGCCUGUAUAGGGUGAAGCCAGAGGAAACUCUGGUGGAGGCUCGCAGCGGUUCUGACGUGCAAAUCGAUCGUCAAAUAUGGGCAU
rnacentral:rRNA from 2 species